rnacentral:lncRNA from 1 species
GUCCAUAGAAGCGGCACAGCCACGUCAGUAUUAGUGAAAAAGAUGCAAUAGUCUUUGUGAGGUAAAACCAUGUCCUGCUUUGCCCACUGUUCUGGUAACCAUAGCCUCAUCUUGUGCUUUGGAGCCAAGUGUUUUUCUGGAGAAGCAUCCUGUUGCCACCAGGGGAGCAACGCUGGCCCUUGCUGGAGGCAGAGCCGUACCAUGCCCAAGGACAGCCCUGUACCACGAUGGGUUGCUGGCAAAUCCCCCACGUGCCUGCUUCAGGAGCCUUUUCAUUGUCACAAUUUUUCUGCUGACCAAGCUGCUCAAUUAUUAUCAGCACAAUUGCACCUGAAAGUGAAUGAACACAGAGUGCAGCAUCCUCCUGCUCCCUGCUCUUGCUCCAAGAGAAGGAAAACAAGGAAGUGAGCCUCUGUUCACAGGAACCACUGCCCUUUUGGAAUUCCAGACAACUUGUCUGGGCUGUAAUGAGAGAUGGCCUUGCUCCAUCCCAUGGACUCAUCCCAACCAGUCUG